CUCGGAAGAUAAGCGCCACCUCGCACUCUUCCCAGAAGCGAAGCGCCACCUCGCGCUCUUCUGCAUGCGUACAAUUAAGUUGGCUACUGCUUCGUCAAAAUUGUAUUUCUAUAAACCAUCUAUAUGAUAUCGAGCACUCUUUGGCCCAGACCUGUGCCCCGUUGCCGCAGUCCCGUUUAAUUGCGAACGCCGGAGAAAUUAAAUCUCACUUGUAACCUAGGC